AGGGAGGUAAGCUAAUUCAAGCUCGUGGGUUCAUACCCCAUUUAUGGAAUCUUUUCCCCUUUCUA
rnacentral:tRNA from 1 species